GACGAACGCUGGCGGCGUGCUUAACACAUGCAAGUCGAGCGAGAAAGCGGCUUCGGCCGUGAGUACAGCGGCGAACGGGUGAGUAACACGUGGGCAACCUGCCCCGGAGACUGGGAUAACAGCCCGAAAGGGCUGCUAAUACCGGAUGACGUACGGCCUGCCAAGCGGACCGUACCAAAUGGUAGCUUCGGCUUCUGCUCUGGGAUGGGCCCGCGGCGGAUUAGCUUGUUGGUGAGGUAACGGCUCACCAAGGCGACGAUCCGUAGCUGGUCUGAGAGGACGAUCAGCCACACUGGGACUGAGACACGGCCCAGACUCCUACGGGUGGCAG
rnacentral:rRNA from 1 species